rnacentral:rRNA from 1 species
GCAUAUCAAUAAGCGGAGGAAAAGAAACUAACAAGGAUUCCCCUAGUAACGGCGAGUGAAGCGGGAAGAGCUCAAAUUUGAAAUCUGGUAGCCUUCGGAUGCCCGAGUUGUAAUCUAGAGAAGUGUUUUCCGUGCCGGCCCAUGUACAAGUCCCUUGGAACAGGGCGUCAUAGAGGGUGAGAAUCCCGUCCUUGACAUGGACCCCCGGUGCUUUGUGAUACACUUUCAACGAGUCGAGUUGUUUGGGAAUGCAGCUCAAAAUGGGUGGUGAAUUCCAUCUAAAGCUAAAUAUUGGCGAGAGACCGAUAGCGAACAAGUACCGUGAGGGAAAGAUGAAAAGCACUUUGGAAAGAGAGUUAAACAGUACGUGAAAUUGUUGAAAGGGAAACGAUUGAAGUCAGUCAUGCUCUUAGGAUUCAGCCGUUCUGCGGUGUAUUUCCUUUGAGUGGGGUCAACAUCAGUUUUGAUCGAUGGAUAAAGGCACGAGGAAGGUAGCACUCUCGGGUGAACUUAUAGCCUCGCGUCAUAUACAUUGAUUGGGACUGAGGAACGCAGCAUGCCUUUAUGGCCGGGAUUCGUCCACGUACAUGCUUAGGAUGUUGACAUAAUGGCUUUAAACGACCCGUCUUGAAACACGGACC